CUCGGUGACGAUGGCGGUAAGGACCCACCUCUACGUCCCGCUUGUCGGGACAUCCAUUCCGAACAGAGAAGUUAAACUUACCAGCGCUGAAAAUACUAGACCGCGUGUCUGGGAAGAUAGGUCGUCGCCGGGA
rnacentral:rRNA from 1 species